AAGCGAUUCUACCGCCUCAGCCUCACGAAUAGCUGGGAUUACAGGUGUGCACCACCGUGCCUGGCUAAUUUUGGGAGAUGUUAGCUGAAUUCUACACUGGCUGAUAAAAGCAUACCACCGGAAUGCUGAAGCCCUGAUGGAAGAUGAAUAGAAACCGGACACUCCCACAGAGGGCUGGUUAGCUGGUGCACCAUCCCAUUUGCUCUUGGACUCUGCUCACUUCACCUCUCGGUGUGACUUUGCGAUGGCUGGAGCUGUGCCAGGCCUGCUACCCCUGGACACCUGAUGAUAUCAAGAGGACUAAGGGCCCCUGAAAUUUCAGAAAUGCUGAAUCCGUGGCAAAAGAGAUGUUAUUGGUGCCCUGAGUUCUUGUAAUCUCCAAGGAGAGAAAUCAAGAGGGAUCACCAGACAUAGCAGCCAAAAAGAAAGAGAAAAAUUUAUUUUAGCUUGUGUGCAAGGAAGUCAGCACUGCAAAAGGAAAAGCAACAAGGAACUCUCUAAUUCCUAUCUGACAGUUCACAGAGAUGUGAAUCGUGGAUGCUCCUUCAAUUGUCUGUGCUUAUGGAAGGUGCUAGGAAACUGAGCACCCAUGUCUAAUCUCCAGCUCCUAUUUUGGACACUAAAAGUGCUGCUCUACAAGGAAUAUGGAGAAUCCAUUCAACUUUUGCGUUGUAUUCCACUGAUACACACAAUGUUCUUUAAAUCUCGUGGUCAGAAAAAUGCUGUGUGCUUCACUAGUUGACAUUUCAUCUAUAUUUUCCAGUGACAUUUGUUUUAACACUUUACAUAGCAAUGGACCAAAAAAAAAAUACAUAUCUCUCUAGCCAAGACCAGUAUGAGCCACGUAAGACUCACAGGAAAGCAAUUAACUUAGUACUCUGAAAGUGACAUUUUAAAAAUUUUUUUUCAACAGUUAUUUAGAAGAAAGGCUAAGAGCAGUAUGUGGAAAGCUAAAAACAUAAAAAAAAAAAUUUACCUCAUCACUGU
rnacentral:lncRNA from 1 species